AUUGAACGCUGGCGGCAUGCCUUACACAUGCAAGUCGAACGGUAACAGGUCUUCGGAUGCUGACGAGUGGCGAACGGGUGAGUAAUACAUCGGAACGUGCCUAGUAGUGGGGGAUAACUACUCGAAAGAGUGGCUAAUACCGCAUGAGAUCUACGGAUGAAAGCAGGGGAUCGCAAGACCUUGUGCUACUAGAGCGGCCGAUGGCAGAUUAGGUAGUUGGUGGGAUAAAAGCUUACCAAGCCGACGAUCUGUAGCUGGUCUGAGAGGACGAUCAGCCACACUGGGACUGAGACACGGCCCAGACUCCUACGGGAGGCAGCAGUGGGGAAUUUUGGACAAUGGGCGAAAGCCUGAUCCAGCAAUGCCGCGUGCAGGAAGAAGGCCUCCGGGUUGUAAACUGCUUUUGUACGGAACGAAAAGCCCCGGGUUAAUACCCUGGGGUCAUGACGGUACCGUAAGAAUAAGCACCGGCUAACUACGUGCCAGCCGCCGCAGUAA
rnacentral:rRNA from 1 species